GGUUUGAUCCUGGCUCAGAUUGAACGCUGGCGGAUGCUUUACACAUGCAAGUCGAACAAGAAAACGGACUUCGGUCUGGUGGCGAGGGUGAACGGGUGAGUAAUGUAUCGGAACGUGCCUAUAGCGGGGGGAUAACUACGCGAAAGCGUAGCUAAUACCGCAUAAUACGCCCUUCGGGGGAAAGCGGGGAUUCGGCCCCGCACUAUUAGAGCGGCCGAUAUCGGAUUAGCUAGUUGGUGGGGUAACGGCUCACCGGAAGACGACGAUCCGUAGCUGGUUUGAGAGGACGACCAGCCACACUGGGACUGGAGACACGGCUCAGACUCCUACGGAGGCAGCAGUGGGGAAUUUUGGACAAUGGGGAAACCCUGAUCCAGCCAUCCUGGGCGUGUGCGAUGAAGGCCUUCGGGUUGUAAAGCACUUUUGGCAGGAAAGAAACGGCACGGGAUAAUACCCUCGUGCAACUGACGGUACCUGCAGAAUAAGCACCGGCUAACUAUGCACAGCAGCCGUAAUACGUAGGUAAGCGUUAAUCGGAAUUACUGGGCGUAAAGCGUAUGCAGGCGGUUCGGAAAGAAAGAUGUGAAAUCCCAGAGCUUAACCUUGAACUGCAUUUUUAACUACCGGAGCUAGAGUGUGUCAGAGGGAGGUGGAAUUCCGCGUGUAGCAGUGAAAUGGUGAUAUGCGGAGGAACACCGAUGGCGAAGGCGAGUUCUGGAGGUAACACUGACGUCGCGUUAGCAGGCACAAAAUGUGUGGGAGCAAACAGGAUUGAUACCCUGGUAGUCCACGCUCCUAAACGAUGUCAACUUAGCUGUUGGGGCCUUCGGCCUGGUAGCGCAGCUAACGCGUGAAGUUGACCGCCUGGGGAGUAAUGGUCGCAAGAUUAAACUCAAAGGAAUUGACGGGACCCGCACAAGCGGUGGAUGAUGUGGAUUAAUUCGAUGCAACGCGAAAAACCUUACCUACCCUUGACAUGUCUGGCAAUCCCGAAGAGAUUUGGGAGUGUCUCGCAAGAGAGCUGAACAGGUGCUGCAUGGCUGUCGUCAGCUCGUGUCGUGAGAUGUUGGCGGUUAAGUCCCGCAACGAGCGCAACCCUUGUCAUUAGUUGCUACGAAAGGCACUCUGGAAUGAGACUGGUGCUGGUGACAAACCUGAGGAAGGUGGGGAUGACGUCAAGUCCUCAUGGCCCUUAUGGGUAGGGCUUCACACGUCAUACAAUGGUCGGGACAGAGGUCGCUAACCCGCGAGGGGGAGCCAAUCCCAGAAACCCGAUCGUAGUCCGGAUCGCAGUCUGCAACUCGACUGCGUGAAGUCGGAAUCGCUAGUAAUCGCGGAUCAGCAUGUCGCGGUGAAUACGUUCCCGGGUCUUGUACACACCGCCCAAUGGUGAAUCAUGGCAAAAGAUGGGUUUUACCAGAAGUGCUAGCCUAACCGUAAGGAGGGCGAUUACCACGGUAGGAUUCAUGACUGGGGUGAAGUCGUAACAAGGUAG
rnacentral:rRNA from 1 species